GGCUGUGUGGCCUAAUGGAUAAGGUGUCUGACUUCGGAUCAGAAGAUUGCAGGUUCGAGUCCUGCCACAGGCG